AUUGAACGCUGGCGGCAGGCCUAACACAUGCAAGUCGAACGAGUGGCGGACGGGUGAGUAAUGUCUGGGAAACUGCCUGAUGGAGGGGGAUAACUACUGGAAACGGUAGCUAAUACCGCAUACCAUCAGAUGUGCCACGAUGGGAUUAGCUUGUUGGUGGGGUGACGGCUAACAAAGGCGACGAUCCCUAGCUGGUCUGCGAGGAUGACCCGCCACACUAGAACGGAGACACGGUCCAGACUCCGACGGGAGGCGGAAGUGGUGAAUAUUGCACAAGGGGCGCAAGCCUGAUGCAGCCAUGCAGCGUGUAUGAAGAAGGCCUUCGGGUUGGAAAGUACUUGCAGCGGGGAGGCGUUACCCGCAGAAGAAGCACCGGCUAACUCCGUGCCAGCAGCCGCGGUAAUAC
rnacentral:rRNA from 1 species